rnacentral:rRNA from 1 species
GACCAGACUCCUACGGGAGGCAGCAGUGAGGAAUAUUGGUCAAUGGCCGGAAGGCUGAACCAGCCAAGUCGCGUGAGGGAAUAAGGCCCUAUGGGUCGUAAACCUCUUUUGUCAGGGAGCAAAGGCGUCCACGUGUGGACGAGAGGAGAGUACCUGAAGAAAAAGCAUCGGCUAACUCCGUGCCAGCAGCCGCGGUAAUACGGAGGAUGCGAGCGUUAUCCGGAUUUAUUGGGUUUAAAGGGUGCGUAGGCGGGACCUUAAGUCAGCGGUAAAAUUGCGGUGCUCAACGCCGUAGAGCCGUUGAAACUGGGGUUCUUGAGUGAGCGAGAAGUAUGCGGAAUGCGUGGUGUAGCGGUGAAAUGCUUAGAUAUUGCGCAGAACUCCGAUUGCGAAGGCAGCAUACCGGCGGCGAUCUGACGCUGAGGCACGAAAGCGUGGGUAUCGAACAGGAUUAGAUACCCGAGUAGGG